UACGAAGGGGGCUAGCGUUGUUCGGAUUUACUGGGCGUAAAGCGCACGUAGGCGGAUCGAUCAGUCAGGGGUGAAAUCCCAGAGCUCAACUCUGGAACUGCCUUUGAUACUGUCGAUCUGGAGUAUGGAAGAGGUGAGUGGAAUUCCGAGUGUAGAGGUGAAAUUCGUAGAUAUUCGCAAGAACACCAGUGGCGAAGGCGGCUCACUGGCCCGAUACUGACGCUGAGGCACGAAAGCGUGGGGAAGCAAACAGG
rnacentral:rRNA from 1 species